rnacentral:pre_miRNA from 14 species
CCAAGUGGAUCUCUGGAGACGUGUGGUUGCCGAUCCCAAACGAUCCCCCAAAUGAAAGACCCCCAGAGCAGGGAGACCCUCACUCAAGUCUCGGGAUGAUGGGACUCCCCCAAGAACUCACGAUGCA